rnacentral:rRNA from 1 species
AGCGAACGCUGGCGGCAGGCUUAACACAUGCCAGUCGAGCGGGCAUCCUUGUGGUGUCAGCGGCAGACGGGUGAGUAACGCGUGGGAACGUGCCCUUCGGUUCGGAAUAACCCUGGGAAACUUGAGCUAAUACCGGAUACGUGCGAGAGCAGAAAGGUUUAUCUGCCGAAGGAUCGGCCCGCGUCUGAUUAGCUAGUUGGUGAGGUUACGGCUCACCAAGGCGACGAUCAGUAGCUGGUCGGAGAGGAUGAUCAGCCACACUGGGACUGAGACACGGCCCAGACUCCGACGGAAGGCAGCAGUGGGGAGUAUUGGGCGAUGGGGGCAACCCUGAUCCAGCCAUGCCGCGUGAGUGAUGACGGCCUUAGGGUUGUAAAGCUCUUUUCUCCGGGACGAUAAUGACGGUACCGGAGGAAUAAGCCCCGGCUAACUUCGUG